ACUGAAGACUGAACAUCUAGUUUCUGAGUGAUAAUCUGGAGUACAAGCUUGCAUUCGUCAAUUAUUUUUACUUCAGACUUGUUGCAAAAUUGCAGGUCAAGAGAGCCUUCUUCAAAUUAAGCAAAACCCGUUUCUGAUUCUCGGUCAGGUACUUUUUAAUUUAUAUCACAACAUACACAAACACAUGUAUACCGACUGCAUAUGCUCGUUUUUAUACUUGAGAGAAACAUUCGUUGUCUGCAAUACGCUCAUGGUUUUGGAAUUGAGAAAGUGAAAUUUAGAGAUUUCGAGGAGGUGAUUUUAGUUGUUUAAUUCUUGUUAAGAUUUUUGGACAUUUUUCCAGGGCUGGCCGUUUUAAACUUAAAGCCCCAAUAAAAAGGAAAAUCAUGGAAAGAUUUUCAAAGAUUUGCAGCUUGCUAAAAUACAUGGAAACCAACCUGCGGAUUUGCGAGACCUUAUACCAACUUCAAGGGUUUGCCGUUUGCAAACUCUCUGUGUGCGAAAGUGUCGAAGCAACCCAGCUUGUGGAUUUCGUCGGUACUUUUGCAGUGGUAGACUAGUAGAGUAGUAGUUUUUUGGGAUUAAUUCCGGAUUGGAGUAGUUUUUAGGGAUUAAUUCCGGAUUGGAAGUGGUCUUAGGUCUAUGGAGUGGAGAAGAUGAUUGGACUGAAAUUGGAGAAGGCGGUUCGUUUGCCCCUUUUAUGUACUCAAAAUUUUCCUUUUUUUCCCUUUUUUAAGAGAGAGUCAAUUUUGGGCUAGAGGCCCCCUAAAAUAUGAGGCCAAGGCUCACCAGGGCCGGCCUUAAAUAAGAUUAUUGCUUUAUUUAUGUGAAAAAGAUUUUGGGACAUUUUUCCAGGCUAGCCAUUUUGAACUUAAAGCCCCAAUAAAAAAGAAAAUCAUGGGACAUUUUUCCAGGCUGGCCGUUUUGAACUUAAAGCCCCAAUAAAAAAGAAAAUCAUGGAAAGAUUUUUAAGGGUUUACAGUUUGCUAAAAUACAUGGAAACCAAUAUGCGGAUUUGCGGGACCUUAUAUCAGCUUCAAGGAUUUGUCGUUUGCGAACUCUUUGUGUGCGAAAAUGCUGAAGAAGCCAAACUUGUGGAUUCCGCCGAAACUUUUGCAGUGGUAGACUCUAUUUUUAGGGAUUAAUUCCGGAUUGGAAUGUGGCCUCUGUCUGUGGAGUGGAGAAGAUAAUUGAAAUGGAAUUGGAGAAGGCAGUUCGUUUACCUCUUUUAUGAGCCCAAAUUUUUCCCUUUUUUUCAAGAGAGGGGUGGUUUUGGACUAGAGACCUCCUAAAAAAUGAGGCCCAAUGCAGUGGCCUCACUUGCCUUGGGCGAAGCCCGCCCCUGUGUGCACACAUCAACAUUGCGUAACUUGGUUUUACAAAGCAUAUGUCAAAUAAAUCUCUUUGGACAACAAAUAAGAUUGUUCAUUAACACACACUGCACCUUUAUCAUGAAUUCUUACAAAACUGGUAGUGGUCGCUUGUGUCCCCUCCUGACACUUGACACACCUUCCUCAUAUUGUUGAGCACUUUACACUAGUUCGUCUCCUCGUUUUCUUAGGCCUAUCGGGUUGAGAAAAUAUUUC
rnacentral:lncRNA from 1 species